rnacentral:rRNA from 1 species
UACGUAGGGUGCGAGCGUUAAUCGGAAUUACUGGGCGUAAAGCGUGCGCAGGCGGUGAUGUAAGACAGAUGUGAAAUCCCCGGGCUCAACCUGGGACCUGCAUUUGUGACUGCAUCGCUAGAGUACGGUAGAGGGGGAUGGAAUUCCGCGUGUAGCAGUGAAAUGCGUAGAUAUCGAGAGGAACACCAGUGGCGAAGGCGAGUCUCUGGACAUUUCCUGACGCUGAGGCACGAAAGCCAGGGGAGCAAACGGG